GAUGAACGCUAGCGGCAGGCUUAACACAUGCAAGUCGAGGGGUAACAGAAUAGCUUGCUAUUGCUGACGACCGGCGCACGGGUGCGUAACGCGUAUACAAUCUACCUUAUACAGGAGAAUAGCCCUAAGAAAUUGGGAUUAAUGCUCCAUAGUAAUAUUAAAUCGCAUGAUUUGAUAUUUAAAGCUUCGGUGGUAUAAGAUGAGUAUGCGUCCUAUUAGUUAGUUGGUAAGGUAACGGCUUACCAAGACAGCGAUAGGUAGGGGGCCUGAGAGGGUUAUCCCCCACACUGGUACUGAGACACGGACCAG
rnacentral:rRNA from 1 species